AACCAUUUAUCACUAUCUCGUCUAUGUUUUUUAUUGAUUAUUUUUUGAUGGCGAGCAUUUUUAAGAUUUUUAUCAUUUGUACACUUUGUAAAUCGAACGGAGGUCAGCAUUAAGAUAAAUUUUGGUGUUUUAUUAAAUCAACAAUAAUACGUGUGAAAAGUAAUACAACCAUGGAGGAAGGCCAUUCAGGUAACAUCAGUCGUAUGAAUUUAUGUAAACGUUUUCUUAAGAAUGGAUUCAAUGGAAAAUCGGAAGCUGAAAUUUUGGAAGAAAUUACCCUAUAUCUAACAAAUUAUUGUGAUAUUUACAACACGGAGCAAGAAUCCGCUAAGAAAAUACUCAAAUCAUUCAUUCAAAAAUGGACCAAAAGAUGGAGAGAUUCAUCUUAUUCUUGGCAAAAAUUUAGUUUGAAAAAUGCUGAUUGGUUAGAAAAAAUGUUUUCAGUGACUUAGCUAUAGACGAAAAUUCGCAAUGCACUGGGGAAUCGGAACCCGGUCCAUCAAAAAGAAAAUGUUUUUCCGAUUUAUCCAAAUCUCAAAAAGACAGAACUACGAAAGACGUCAGAGAUAAUUAUACUUCAGACAUCCUUGC